AAGGAAAACCUUAGAUACGAAGAUAGAGACAGCAGAAGAUUGCUGGUCUGAAAAUACUGUGGUAAAGAACUGCAGUGAAGUUAUUUGAGGAGCACAGAAAUAUAUAUCUUUCCAGACUGAAGAACCAGCAUAUGUUAUCCACAAGCCUUCAAAACAGCAAAGUCAGCCCUACUGGAAAUCUUCAAAGACUCAGAGUUGUCCCAGAGUCAUCUGCACAGAUAUUGAAAAAACAUGUAAGCCUGCUUUAUGGAGGUAUCUGUUCAUAAUAUUUUGCUGUAAGUAGAGACUUUCACCUUUCAUCUAUUAGCUGGAUGACACUGUGAACUAGUUGUAUCUCAGUGCACCCAAGACCAGGGUCCUGGAAUAUUAGAGCAGAAUAAAAGACAUGUGCUAUCUUCCA
rnacentral:lncRNA from 1 species